rnacentral:rRNA from 1 species
AUUGAACGCUGGCGGCAGGCCUAACACAUGCAAGUCGAGCGGAUGAAGGGAGCUUGCUCCUGGAUUCAGCGGCGGACGGGUGAGUAAUGCCUAGGAAUCUGCCUGGUAGUGGGGGAUAACGUCCGGAAACGGGCGCUAAUACCGCAUACGUCCUGAGGGAGAAAGUGGGGGAUCUUCGGACCUCACGCUAACAGAUGAGCCUAGGUCGGAUUAGCUAGUUGGUGGGGUAAAGGCCUACCAAGGCGACGAUCCGUAACUGGUCUGAGAGGAUGAUCAGUCACACUGGAACUGAGACACGGUCCAGACUCCUACGGGAGGCAGCAGUGGGGAAUAUUGGACAAUGGGCGAAAGCCUGAUCCAGCCAUGCCGCGUGUGUGAAGAAGGUCUUCGGAUUGUAAAGCACUUUAAGUUGGGAGAAAGGGCAGUAAGUUAAUACCUUGCUGUUUUGACGUUACCAACAGAAUAAGCACCGGCUAACUUCGUG